UACAGAGGGUGCAAGCGUUGUUCGGAAUUAUUGGGCGUAAAGGGCGCGUAGGCGGUUCGGCAAGUCUCUAGUGAAAUCUCUGGGCUCAACUCAGAGUCUGCUGGGGAAACUGCCGGGCUUGAGUGUGGGAGAGGAGAGUGGAAUUCCCGGUGUAGCGGUGAAAUGCGUAGAUAGUCGGGAGGAACACCGGUGGCGAAGGCGGCAUCCUGGACCGAGAUUGACGCGUGAUGCGCGAAAGCCAGGGGAGCCAAAGCGGG
rnacentral:rRNA from 1 species